rnacentral:rRNA from 1 species
GACGAACGCUGGCGGCGUGCUUAACACAUGCAAGUCGAACGGAAAGGCCCUGCUUUUGUGGGGUGCUCGAGUGGCGAACGGGUGAGUAACACGUGAGUAACCUGCCCUUGACUUUGGGAUAACUUCAGGAAACUGGGGCUAAUACCGGAUAGGAGCUCCUGCUGCAUGGUGGGGGUUGGAAAGUUUCGGCGGUUGGGGAUGGACUCGCGGCCUAUCAGCUUGUUGGUGGGGUAGUGGCUUACCAAGGCUUUGACGGGUAGCCGGCCUGUGAGGGCGACCGGCCAGACGGGGACUGGGACACGGCCCAGACUCCGACGGGAGGCAGCCGCAAGGGAUGUUAGGCAAUGGGCGCAAGACUGACCGGGCAACGCCGCGUGCAGGAAGACGGCGUUCGGGGUGUAAACUGCUUUGGCGAGGGAGGAUAACAGACAGGACCUGGCGAAUCAGCCCCGGCUAACUCUGUG